rnacentral:misc_RNA from 1 species
GAUGAAGAACGUAGCGAAAUGCGAUAAGUAAUGUGAAUUGCAGAAUUCAGUGAAUCAUCGAAUCUUUGAACGCACAUUGCGCCCCCUGGUAUUCCGGGGGGCAUGCCUGUUCGAGCGUCAUUUCAACCCUCAAGCUCUGCUUGGUAUUGAGUCCAUGUCAGCAAUGGCAGGCUCCAAAAUCAGUGGCGGCGCCGCUGGGUCCUGAACGUAGUAAUAUCUCUCGUUACAGGUGCUCGGCGUGCUUCUGCCAAAACCCCAAUUUUUCUAUGGUUGACCUCGGAUCAGGUAGGGAUACCCGCUGAACUUAAGCAUAUCAAUAACGGAGGA